GCUAAUUUGAAGAGUCUCAGUGGAUAGGGACUCUAUUGAAGAGUCCCACUGGAUGGAGACUCUAGAGAAGAGUCCCACUAGACUUGGACUCUAUCAUUAAUAGAGGAUUAAUUAGUUAGUAUAUCAUUAAUUAGCUUAAUUUAAUUGAUCAUUAAAGUCUGGAUCAAGUAUGAUUGAAUUGAAUUCAAUCAGGUCAGGUUUGAUUAGGUUAUGAGAU
rnacentral:lncRNA from 1 species